rnacentral:rRNA from 1 species
GACGAACGCUGGCGGCGUGCCUAAUACAUGCAAGUAGAACGCUGAAGGAGGAGCUUGCUUCUCUGGAUGAGUUGCGAACGGGUGAGUAACGCGUAGGUAACCUGCCUGGUAGCGGGGGAUAACUAUUGGAAACGAUAGCUAAUACCGCAUAAGAGUAGAUGUUGCAUGACAUUUGCUUAAAAGGUGCAAUUGCAUCACUACCAGAUGGACCUGCGUUGUAUUAGCUAGUUGGUGGGGUAACGGCUUACCAAGGCGACGAUACAUAGCCGACCUGAGAGGGUGAUCGGCCACACUGGGACUGAGACACGGCCCAGACUCCUACGGGAGGCAGCAGUAGGGAAUCUUCGGCAAUGGACGGAAGUCUGACCGAGCAACGCCGCGUGAGUGAAGAAGGUUUUCGGAUCGUAAAGCUCUGUUGUAAGAGAAGAACGAGUGUGAGAGUGGAAAGUUCACACUGUGACGGUAUCUGACCAGAAAGGGACGGCUAACUACGUG